UCUUUGGGCCUGAUCCAAAGCCCAUUGAAGUCAAUAGGAGUUUUUCCAUUGACUUCAGUGAGCUUGGGAUCAGGCCCCUUGUGA
rnacentral:pre_miRNA from 1 species